UACGUAGGUGACCAGCGUUGUCCGGAUUUACUGGGCGUAAAGAGCGCGCAGGCGGUCGUUCAAGUCGAGUGUGAAAGCCCCCGGCUCAACUGGGGAGGGUCACGCGAUACUGAUCGACUCGAAGGCAGGAGAGGGAAGUGGAAUUCCCGGUGUAGUGGUGAAAUGCGUAGAUAUCGGGAGGAACACCUGAGGCGAAGGCGGGCUACUGGGCCGAUACUGACGCUGAUGCGCGAAAGCCAGGGGAGCAAACGGG
rnacentral:rRNA from 1 species